rnacentral:misc_RNA from 1 species
GAUUUUCUAUACCCACUGGUCUGCAAAAUCUUCAGAGCCACUCAUUGAACCAUAACUGGAGCUAUUGGGUCCAUCUUUGUAACUGGCAAGUUGGUAUCCUUUUCCCAUGUGUUCACAACUAUUCUCAAACCAUGCUAACAAAACUGAGGAAUGAAAUAACUGAAAGAUAAAUAUACAGGUGACACAUCGGGCUGACAGGUCUCUGAAAGGUCUGCCAACAGUUUAGGUUGUUUGGGUCCAUUGAAAUCACUUGUCCAUAAGAGCUAAAGCCCAAGUCCAUUUAAUUGUAAGAAUGAAAUGAGAUUAGAAGUUGGGCCUUAGCUAUUAGGCAAAGUCCACUUAUUUAUGGAUUUUAUAUGCCAAAUCA